GGGGUUGUGGCUCAGCGGUAGAGCACUUGCCUAGCACAUGCAAGGCCCUGGGUUGGAUCCUCAGCACCACA
rnacentral:tRNA from 1 species